rnacentral:rRNA from 5 species
UUUGGUGAUGAUGGCAGAGAGGUCACACCCGUUCCCAUACCGAACACGGAAGUUAAGCUCUCUAGCGCCGAUGGUAGUUGGGACCUUGUCCCUGUGAGAGUAGGACGUCGCCAAGCUAU